GUGGGGAAUAUUGGACAAUGGUGGGAACCCUGAUCCAGCCAUGCCGCGUGUGUGAAGAAGGCCUUUUGGUUGUAAAGCACUUUAAGCGAGGAGGAGGCUACCGAGAUUAAUACUCUUGGAUAGUGGACGUUACUCGCAGAAUAAGCACCGGCUAACUCUGUGCCAGCAGCCGCGGUAAUACAGAGGGUGCGAGCGUUAAUCGGAUUUACUGGGCGUAAAGCGUGCGUAGGCGGCUUUUUAAGUCGGAUGUGAAAUCCCUGAGCUUAACUUAGGAAUUGCAUUCGAUACUGGUUGGCUAGAGUAUGGGAGAGGAUGGUAGAAUUCCAGGUGUAGCGGUGAAAUGCGUAGAGAACUGGAGGAAUACCGAUGGCGAAGGCAGCCAUCUGGCCUAAUACUGACACUGAGGUGCGAAAGCAUGGGGAGCAAACAGGAUUAGAUACCCCGGUAGUCC
rnacentral:rRNA from 1 species